rnacentral:rRNA from 1 species
CCUACGGGUGGCAGCAGUGGGGAAUUUUGCGCAAUGCUCGUAAGAGUGACGCAGCGACGCCGCGUGAAUGACGAAGGCCUUCGGGUCGUAAAGUUCUUUCGACAGGGAAGAAAAUGCCUAUAAGUAACUGUGUAUGUAUUGACGGUACCUUUCUAAGCAGCCCCGGCUAACUCCGUGCCAGCAGCCGCGGUAAUACGGAGGGGGCGAGCGUUGUUCGGAGUGACUGGGGGUAAAGCGCACGUAUGCGUUGUUUUAAGUCAUUAGUCAAAGACUAGAGCUAAACUUUAGUAAGGCUAGUGAUACUAUAAUACGAGAGUAUGAGAGAGGAUUGCAGAAUGCCUGGUGUAGCGGUGAAAUGCGUAGAUAUCAGGAGGAAUACCGUUAGCGAAGGCGGCAAUCUGGCUGGAAACUGACGCUGAGGUGCGAAAGCGUGGGUAGCAAACAGGAUUAGAUGCCCUAGUAGUC